rnacentral:rRNA from 1 species
UUAGGAAUCUUCCACAAUGGGCGAAAGCCUGAUGGAGCGACGCCGCGUGAGGGAUGAAGGCCUUAGGGUUGUAAACCUCUAAAAGAGGGACGAUAAUGACGGUACCUCUUGAAUAGCACCGGCUAACUCCGUGCCAGCAGCCGCGGUAAUACGGAGGGUGCAAGCGUUAUCCGGAAUCACUGGGCGUAAAGGGCGCGUAGGCGGUCUGUUAAGUCCGAUGUUAAAUCCCGGGGCUCAACCCCGGAUAAGCGUUGGAUACUGGCAGGCUAGACGGUUGGAGAGGCGAGUGGAAUUACCAGUGUAGCGGUGGAAUGCGUAGAUACUGGUAGGAACACCCAUUGCGAAGGCAGCUCGCUGGACAACACGUGACGCUGAGGCGCGGAAGUGUGGGGAGCAAACC